CUCCUAAUGCAGCUAAUGGACUGCUGAUUCCCAUGGGUUCUGUGCUGUUACAUCUAAAACGCGUUUUAUGAAAGAUGUGUCUGACUGAAGAUGCAGGAAGCAGCUUGAUUGGAAGUUACGUGUCCCAAGUAAGCUGAGGAAUGACGUAGGAAUUGUAACUUUUUGAAAGAGUCACCAACUGGCUCCCCAGCCUGGAGGAAUGAGAGGCAUGUGGGAUAGGCAGGUAAACAAACAAAUCUGUGGAUGUUUGUUAAAAUGCCCAAGCGUUUCAUCUAGGCAAGAGUAAACACUAUCAGCUCUAUUUCUCACAGCAUGAGAAGUGUCCUAGUGUAAUAUCUUGUAUUAGAUGGCAGAUGCAAUCUGGAGAGUGAGGGAUACACCUCUGCCCAAGAAUACAAACCAAACAUUUUAAGGAAUGGAUUAGCUGUGUGUUAAGUGAAUAGCAGUCCCCCACUCUGCAAUAUUUAUUCAUUUGCAAACACCUAGUUGCUUCUGAAUAAACACUAAGAUCAGAGGUAAGCGUAACUUGUCAUUGUGGUGCUGCCUUCAUUGAAUUUCAUGACCCAAUGAUACAUCCCAGAUAGUAACAGGAAUCCUGUGAGAUCAUUUCCUUCCAGACAAGGUACACAAACUUUUUUUUUAACACUAAGCUGUAAUGGAGCCAUCAGAAAUGUCUAAUUAUUGUCCCUUUUACAGGCGAGAAUGCAGGCAGCACUGUAAGGGGGCCCCAGACUAACCAUGCGUCCAGGCCAUCACAGCUGCCUCAGGGCUGGCAUUUUUUAGUGAUUGAUUCUUGGGCAAGUCUUGAAGAUGGCAGUGAGUUCUGCCUGCUGCAAGUAACACUCUUUCAAGCAACUCUUUGGUUUUGAUCUGGCUAUUAUGCAGAUGUUGAAGUGCACAGCAGUGAAC
rnacentral:lncRNA from 1 species